rnacentral:rRNA from 1 species
CACGUAGGGUGCGAGCGUUGUCCGGAAUUAUUGGGCGUAAAGAGCUCGUAGGCGGUGUGUCGCGUCGGCCGUGAAAACCUGCAGCUUAACUGUGGGCUUGCGGUCGAUACGGGCAUCACUGGAGUUCGGCAGGGGAGACUGGAAUUCCUGGUGUAGCGGUGAAAUGCGCAGAUAUCAGGAGGAACACCGGUGGCGAAGGCGGGCUUCUGGUUGACAUCUGACGCUGAGGUGCGAAAGCUAGGGGAGCGAACGGG